GGGAAGUUGACCAGUCAUGUUUUUGUUGUCUUUAUGUAUCAUCAGGUUUCCAUUUCGUCGAUGGAUGUCAGUGUUGUUCCAGAAUCUGCACAAAGUGAAACUUCAAAUUCCCAUCCACGACCUCCAAAAGGGACCAUCGAUCUGUUCUCAGGCCCUCCAAUUCAGAUACCUCCCCAGCUUACUCCAAUGGACAGAGAAGCCAGAGUCCGAUGACCUCUCGAUGCUCAGUGGCUGUAUAUGACGUUGUGUGCUGGUGCAAUGUAAUUGAAGCUGAGUUCUGCUUUCUGCUUUCCCUGUGGUCAUCUUUUUGUUGGAACAUACACCUUUUAGAUGACAUAUAACGUUCAUCAAUAACUGCUUUUGGUCCAGGGCUUCUUCCCAGAUUCUCCUUUAGUACAAUGAAUAUCCCAUCACAUAAAGGUGAAAAGAGUAGAUUCUAUCUCAGCAAGAACAUUGAAGUUGUUCCACAGAAGUCAAUAGAGCCUGGCUAAACCUUUCAAGUUUGAGGUCCCUCUUGAUCCAUGACACUUUAGUACCUAUUUCUUCUCUUCCAUUCGCUGAAAGCCUGAAACUCAGCACUUUUUACAAAGCUCACAAAUUUCUCAGUUUGUUGUGGGUGUGAGGCCCUUUCAGAUCCUUAGGACUUUAUGUAUCUAUUUCUGUACCAUUUACUGCCAGGCGGAUUCUGCCUAUUUGUGUGCAGACUGUGACGCCCGCAUACAUGCAGCAAGUCUGGUGACUUCUCGUCACAAGCGUGUGUGGGUUUGUGAGGCCUGCGAGCGUGCCCCUGCAGCCUUUCUUUGCAAGGCGGAUGCUGCCUCACUUUGUGCCUCCUGCGAUGCUGACAUCCAUUCUGCCAACCCCUUGGCACAUCGUCACCACCGUAUCCCAAUUAUUACCAUUCCAGGUAGACCAUAUAUACUCCUACAUGAGAAAAAUAACAAAAAUUUCAAUAUAUAUGGCUUCUAAACCAUAAUAUCAAAAGUGUAAUGUGUUAAAUAAUAAAAAACAUAAAAUUGAACUCAUCAAACUUAAAUUCUAAAUUCGGCUCUGAUUCCAAUCUCCAGGAACCCUUUACGGUCCUCCAGCUGUUGAAACUGUUGGCGGUGAUUCUAUGAUGAUUAGUGGGUCCACAGGGGAAGGAACGGAGGAUGAUGGGUUCUUGAGUUUGACACAAGAUGCAGAUGAUACGAUUAUAGAU
rnacentral:misc_RNA from 1 species